GACGAACGCUGGCGGCGUGCUUAACACAUGCAAGUCGAACGGAAAGGCCCUGCUUUUGUGUGGUGCUCGAGUGGCGAACGGGUGAGUAACACGUAAGUAACCUGCCCUUGACUUUGGGAUAACUUCAGGAAACUGGGGCUAAUACCGGAUAGGAGCUCCUGCUGCAUGUUGGGGGUUGGAAAGUUUCGGCGGUUGGGGAUGUACUCGCUGCUUAUCAGCUUGUUGGUGUGGUAGUGGCUUACCAAGGCUUUGACGGGUAGCCGGCCUGAGAGGGUGACCGGCCCCAUUGGGACUGAGAUACGGCCCAGACUCCUACGGGAGGCAGCAGUGGGGAAUAUUGCACAAUGGGCGGAAGCAUGAUGCAGCAAUGCCGCGUGCGGGAUGACGGCCUUCGGGUUGUAAACCGCUUUGGCCUGUGACGAAGAGUGAGUGACGGUAAUGGGUAAAGAAGCAACGGCUAACUACGUG
rnacentral:rRNA from 1 species